GACCUGAGAGGGUGAUCGGCCACAUUGGGACUGAGACACGGCCCAAACUCCUACGGGAGGCAGCAGUAGGGAAUCUUCGGCAAUGGACGACAGUCUGACCGAGCAACGCCGCGUGAGUGAAGAAGGUGUUCGGAUCGUAAAACUCUGUUGUUAGAGAAGAACAAGGAUGAGAGUAACUGUUCAUCCCUUGACGGUAUCUAACCAGAAAGCCACGGCUA
rnacentral:rRNA from 1 species